rnacentral:rRNA from 1 species
UACGAAGGUGGCAAGCGUUGUUCGGAUUUACUGGGCGUACAGGGAGCGUAGGCGGUUGGGUAAGCCCUCCGUGAAAUCUCCGGGCCUAACCCGGAAAGUGUGGAGGGGACUGCUCGGCUAGAGGAUGGGAGAGGAGCGCGGAAUUCCCGGUGUAGCGGUGAAAUGCGUAGAGAUCGGGAGGAAGGCCGGCGGCGAAGGCAACUCUUUAGGUCCAGACUGACGCUAAGGUACGAAAGCGUGGGGAGCAAACGGG